rnacentral:rRNA from 1 species
AGGACGAACGCUGGCGGCGUGCUUAACACAUGCAAGUCGAGCGGAAAGGCCCUUCGGGGUACUCGAGCGGCGAACGGGUGAGUAACACGUGAGCAACCUGCCCCUGGCUCUGGGAUAGCCUCCGGAAACGGGGAUUAAUACCGGACAUUCACUUCCUUCCGCAUGGUUGGUGGUGGAAAGUUUUUCGGCCGGGGAGGGGCUCGCGGUCUAUCAGCUUGUUGGCGGGGUAAUGGCCCACCAAGACGAUGAUCUGUA